rnacentral:rRNA from 1 species
CAGCAGCCACGGUAAUACGAAGGGGGCUAGCGUUGUUCGGAAUUACUGGGCGUAAAGCGCACGUAGGCGGAUAUUUAAGUCAGGGGUGAAAUCCCGCAGCUCAACUGCGGAACUGCCUUUGAUACUGGGUAUCUUGAGUAUGGAAGAGGUUAGUGGAAUUGCGAGUGUAGAGGUGAAAUUCGUAGAUAUUCGCAGAAACACCAGUGGCGAAGGCGGCUAACUGGUCCAUAACUGACGCUGAGGUGCGAAAGCGUGGGGAGCAAACAGGAUUAGAUACCCCAGUAGUCCCUGUCUCUUAUAC